rfam:Caldibacillus debilis strain B4135 NODE_59, whole genome shotgun sequence.
CCGUGCUAGGCGGGGAGGUAGCGGUGCCCUGUACCCGCAAUCCGCUCCAGCGGGGCUGAAUCCCUUCCUGAGGCUAACUAUCUGUAAGGCCAGUCUCCCAUAAGUGGUGUUGACGUUCGGGUCCUGUGCAAUGGAAAUCCACGAACCAUGUCAGGUCCGGAAGGAAGCAGCAUUAAGUGGAAGCUUCCAUGUGCCGCAGGGGUGCCUGAGCCGAGCUAACUGUGGGAUCAACGCUUAUGGAUGUUGGUCGAAGGAAGGUGCACGG